AUGAGGAUGGUGAUGGCAGGAACGGAGAGAGAGAGAGAGUUGUGGUGUUGUUGUUGUUGUGAAUGGCAUAUGAUGAUGAAGGUGGUUGAAUGUGAAGCAAUGGAGGUGAUGAGCGACUGGAUGAAGGUGUCACAUCAGAUGAAGAGUGGUCGUGGAUGUUGGUGUUUGGAGGAUGACGGUGAUGAGGAAAAUGGAGGAAGGUUGGAGUGGUACUGGAUGAUAGGUGGAUGGGAUGGUGAGGUCACAAACAACAUAGGAUAA